rnacentral:ncRNA from 16 species
UAGAAAUCGUCAGGUCAAGGUUCUUCCAUCUCUGGUGGAAGCUAAGAGGGAAUCCGGUGCGAUACCGGAGCUGUCCCGCAACUGUAAACGGCGAGCCGUCUCCUAAUACGUCACUGACCCGCAAGGGUUGGGAAGACAGGGGAAGGCACUGACCCGUGAGCCAGGAGACCUGCCUGACAAGAUAGAAUUCCG